UGAGGAAUAUUGGGCAAUGCCCGCAAGGGUGACCCAGCAACGCCGCGUGGAGGAUGAAUGUCGUAAGAUUGUAAACUCCUGUUAGAGGGGAAGAAUAGUACCGGUUGGACCGGUAUAUGACUGUACCCUCAGAGAAAGCCCCGGCUAACUACGUGCCAGCAGCCGCGGUAAUACGUAGGGGGCAAGCGUUGUCCGGAUUUACUGGGUGUAAAGGGCGCGCAGGCGGGAUAAAAAGUCAGUGGUGAAAUCCUACAGCUUAACUGUAGAACUGCCUCUUAUACUUUUAUUCUUGAGUUCGGUAGAGAGAGACGGAAUUCCAGGUGUAGUGGUGAAAUACGUAGAUAUCUGGAAGAACACCAGUUGCGAAGGCGGUCUCUUGGUCCGACACUGACGCUGAGGCGCGAAAGCGUGGGGAGCAAACA
rnacentral:rRNA from 1 species